GUCGAGAGUCGAGUUGGACCUUCCGGUCGGGAAUCACGCUUUUUUGAAGGCAAUUGGUUGGAGUCGAAAUCGCAGACGCAAGAUAAGCAAGACUCCACAGAAGACCCGAGUGACGGACGAGAGUCGAGUUGGACCUUCCGGUCGGGAAUCACGCUUUUUUGAAGGCAAUUGGUUGGAGUCGAAAUCGCAGACGCAAGAUAAGCAGUAGGAACAUUAUUCUUUUAUUUAUUGUCUUACUUACAUUAUUGUCUUAAUGAUGUGGAAAGGCAAAGAUAGGAGAGGUUGUGUGGAUCGAUACCUGCCACGUGGGCGAGUGGGUAUCUCUGGUUAGUGUCCCUGGGGAUUCCUUCUUAACCACGGUCAGGUUAAAAAUAGUCCAGAACUUUCAUUAUGUGAAAAUUCUGGAAAAAUAGUCCCAACUACCUAAGGGAAUUAAGAAGUAGGCCUACAGAUUCUCCGCAUGGCCUGAGUGAGGCCCAAGGAGCUAGGCCGCCCUGGAAUUAAACCCUUAGAAGUAGUAUGACCUGUACAAUUUUGUGCCUUUCGUUGUCUGGUCUAGGGGGUAGCACAUACGCCAAGCGUGAUUGGCUUGGUUUAAGCCAUUUCAGGGGAGGUGUCGCCUUUCAUUGUCUGGUCCAGGGGUAAUACACACGGCAAGCUUGAUCAACUUGACGGAGCCGGCUCGGGGAGGGUGUCUAAUGUAAAGGCUCGAAACACCCGACGAUCCGAGAGUGCAUUACUGAUGAUGUGUCCUGGCACAUGAUAAUGAGAGGUUUCGAUUUUCCUAUACAAGCAGCUGGCUUAGGAGCUCAGACUUUAAAUUCUGCAGACUAACCUUUGCCAGCUAAACAUAUAGAUCCACCAGCCCUACACUUAAACCUAAUCCUAAAGUCCAAAAGGGGCAUACACCCCCAUAAAUAGGUAAAUUCCAAGAGGGGUAGUCACCCCCAUAAACCCUAGGCAACUUCCAAGGGGGGCAUACACCCCCACAAACCCUAGGCAUUCCCCGAUUAACUUUUGAUAUUCUGUGAGGGGUAGGAUUCAACAAGGGCAAGUGUGGGACCUGGUUAAUGAAGGCGUGGGCCAGAUCAAAGUGGCAGGGUGAUGUGAAACAGAAUCUCAAGUGAAGAGAUCAGAAAUCACAAGAGGGCUUUUUAGCCCACUGCCCGCAUAAUUUCAACCUAACCUAGCAGUGACACGCUCUUCAUUCUCCCGGCCCCAGAAAGGCCAAUAAGAAAACCCAGAUAUUUUAUUUCACCUAUUAGGUGUUAAAAAAUUCAUAGUUAAAAGAAUGGAGAGGUUCACCAAUCAGCAGCUAAUGUACCUUUAAGGGCUGAGGUGAGCCGGUCUCCUAGCAACAGCCAGGUUUGCAGCAGGUGGACAAUUAGGUUUUAGUAUCACAUUAGUUAAAAGAGGCCCUGCGGGGGGAAGAAGGUCAGGGACGUUUUAACUGGAUAGCAGUACUGUCUGGGUUUAGAGACUCCACAGAAGACCCGAGUGACGGACGAGAGUCGAGUUGGACCUUCCGGUCGGGAAUCACGCUUUUUUGAAGGCAAUUGGUUGGAGUCGAAAUCGCAGACGCAAGAUAAGCAGUAGGAACAUUAUUCUUUUAUUUAUUGUCUUACUUACAUUAUUGUCUUAAUGAUGUGGAAAGGCAAAGAUAGGAGAGGUUGUGUGGAUCGAUACCUGCCACGUGGGCGAGUGGGUAUCUCUGGUUAGUGUCCCUGGGGAUUCCUUCUUAACCACGGUCAGGUUAAAAAUAGUCCAGAACUUUCAUUAUGUGAAAAUUCUGGAAAAAUAGUCCCAACUACCUAAGGGAAUUAAGAAGUAGGCCUACAGAUUCUCCGCAUGGCCUGAGUGAGGCCCAAGGAGCUAGGCCGCCCUGGAAUUAAACCCUUAGAAGUAGUAUGACCUGUACAAUUUUGUGCCUUUCGUUGUCUGGUCUAGGGGGUAGCACAUACGCCAAGCGUGAUUGGCUUGGUUUAAGCCAUUUCAGGGGAGGUGUCGCCUUUCAUUGUCUGGUCCAGGGGUAAUACACACGGCAAGCUUGAUCAACUUGACGGAGCCGGCUCGGGGAGGGUGUCUAAUGUAAAGGCUCGAAACACCCGACGAUCCGAGAGUGCAUUACUGAUGAUGUGUCCUGGCACAUGAUAAUGAGAGGUUUCGAUUUUCCUAUACAAGCAGCUGGCUUAGGAGCUCAGACUUUAAAUUCUGCAGACUAACCUUUGCCAGCUAAACAUAUAGAUCCACCAGCCCUACACUUAAACCUAAUCCUAAAGUCCAAAAGGGGCAUACACCCCCAUAAAUAGGCAAAUUCCAAGAGGGGUAGUCACCCCCAUAAACCCUAGGCAACUUCCAAGGGGGGCAUACACCCCCACAAACCCUAGGCAUUCCCCGAUUAACUUUUGAUAUUCUGAGAAGGGUAGGAUUCAACAAGGGCAAGUGUGGGACCUGGUUAAUGAAGGCGUGGGCCAGAUCAAAGUGGCAGGGUGAUGUGAAACAGAAUCUCAAGUGAAGAGAUCAGAAAUCACAAGAGGGCUUUUUAGCCCACUGCCCGCAUAAUUUCAACCUAACCUAGCAGUGACACGCUCUUCAUUCUCCCGGCCCCAGAAAGGCCAAUAAGAAAACCCAGAUAUUUUAUUUCACCUAUUAGGUGUUAAAAAAUUCAUAGUUAAAAGAAUGGAGAGGUUCACCAAUCAGCAGCUAAUGUACCUUUAAGGGCUGAGGUGAGCCGGUCUCCUAGCAACAGCCAGGUUUGCAGCAGGUGGACAAUUAGGUUUUAGUAUCACAUUAGUUAAAAGAGGCCCUGCGGGGGGAAGAAGGUCAGGGACGUUUUAACUGGAUAGCAGUACUGUCUGGGUUUAGAGACUCCACAGAAGACCCGAGUGACGGACGAGAGUCGAGUUGGACCUUCCGGUCGGGAAUCACGCUUUUUUGAAGGCAAUUGGUUGGAGUCGAAAUCGCAGACGCAAGAUAAGCAAGACUCCACAGAAGACCCGAGUGACGGACGAGAGUCGAGUUGGACCUUCCGGUCGGGAAUCACGCUUUUUUGAAGGCAAUUGGUUGGAGUCGAAAUCGCAGACGCAAGAUAAGCAGUAGGAACAUUAUUCUUUUAUUUAUUGUCUUACUUACAUUAUUGUCUUAAUGAUGUGGAAAGGCAAAGAUAGGAGAGGUUGUGUGGAUCGAUACCUGCCACGUGGGCGAGUGGGUAUCUCUGGUUAGUGUCCCUGGGGAUUCCUUCUUAACCACGGUCAGGUUAAAAAUAGUCCAGAACUUUCAUUAUGUGAAAAUUCUGGAAAAAUAGUCCCAACUACCUAAGGGAAUUAAGAAGUAGGCCUACAGAUUCUCCGCAUGGCCUGAGUGAGGCCCAAGGAGCUAGGCCGCCCUGGAAUUAAACCCUUAGAAGUAGUAUGACCUGUACAAUUUUGUGCCUUUCGUUGUCUGGUCUAGGGGGUAGCACAUACGCCAAGCGUGAUUGGCUUGGUUUAAGCCAUUUCAGGGGAGGUGUCGCCUUUCAUUGUCUGGUCCAGGGGUAAUACACACGGCAAGCUUGAUCAACUUGACGGAGCCGGCUCGGGGAGGGUGUCUAAUGUAAAGGCUCGAAACACCCGACGAUCCGAGAGUGCAUUACUGAUGAUGUGUCCUGGCACAUGAUAAUGAGAGGUUUCGAUUUUCCUAUACAAGCAGCUGGCUUAGGAGCUCAGACUUUAAAUUCUGCAGACUAACCUUUGCCAGCUAAACAUAUAGAUCCACCAGCCCUACACUUAAACCUAAUCCUAAAGUCCAAAAGGGGCAUACACCCCCAUAAAUAGGCAAAUUCCAAGAGGGGUAGUCACCCCCAUAAACCCUAGGCAACUUCCAAGGGGGGCAUACACCCCCACAAACCCUAGGCAUUCCCCGAUUAACUUUUGAUAUUCUGAGAAGGGUAGGAUUCAACAAGGGCAAGUGUGGGACCUGGUUAAUGAAGGCGUGGGCCAGAUCAAAGUGGCAGGGUGAUGUGAAACAGAAUCUCAAGUGAAGAGAUCAGAAAUCACAAGAGGGCUUUUUAGCCCACUGCCCGCAUAAUUUCAACCUAACCUAGCAGUGACACGCUCUUCAUUCUCCCGGCCCCAGAAAGGCCAAUAAGAAAACCCAGAUAUUUUAUUUCACCUAUUAGGUGUUAAAAAAUUCAUAGUUAAAAGAAUGGAGAGGUUCACCAAUCAGCAGCUAAUGUACCUUUAAGGGCUGAGGUGAGCCGGUCUCCUAGCAACAGCCAGGUUUGCAGCAGGUGGACAAUUAGGUUUUAGUAUCACAUUAGUUAAAAGAGGCCCUGCGGGGGGAAGAAGGUCAGGGACGUUUUAACUGGAUAGCAGUACUGUCUGGGUUUAGAGACUCCACAGAAGACCCGAGUGACGGACGAGAGUCGAGUUGGACCUUCCGGUCGGGAAUCACGCUUUUUUGAAGGCAAUUGGUUGGAGUCGAAAUCGCAGACGCAAGAUAAGCAGUAGGAACAUUAUUCUUUUAUUUAUUGUCUUACUUACAUUAUUGUCUUAAUGAUGUGGAAAGGCAAAGAUAGGAGAGGUUGUGUGGAUCGAUACCUGCCACGUGGGCGAGUGGGUAUCUCUGGUUAGUGUCCCUGGGGAUUCCUUCUUAACCACGGUCAGGUUAAAAAUAGUCCAGAACUUUCAUUAUGUGAAAAUUCUGGAAAAAUAGUCCCAACUACCUAAGGGAAUUAAGAAGUAGGCCUACAGAUUCUCCGCAUGGCCUGAGUGAGGCCCAAGGAGCUAGGCCGCCCUGGAAUUAAACCCUUAGAAGUAGUAUGACCUGUACAAUUUUGUGCCUUUCGUUGUCUGGUCUAGGGGGUAGCACAUACGCCAAGCGUGAUUGGCUUGGUUUAAGCCAUUUCAGGGGAGGUGUCGCCUUUCAUUGUCUGGUCCAGGGGUAAUACACACGGCAAGCUUGAUCAACUUGACGGAGCCGGCUCGGGGAGGGUGUCUAAUGUAAAGGCUCGAAACACCCGACGAUCCGAGAGUGCAUUACUGAUGAUGUGUCCUGGCACAUGAUAAUGAGAGGUUUCGAUUUUCCUAUACAAGCAGCUGGCUUAGGAGCUCAGACUUUAAAUUCUGCAGACUAACCUUUGCCAGCUAAACAUAUAGAUCCACCAGCCCUACACUUAAACCUAAUCCUAAAGUCCAAAAGGGGCAUACACCCCCAUAAAUAGGCAAAUUCCAAGAGGGGUAGUCACCCCCAUAAACCCUAGGCAACUUCCAAGGGGGGCAUACACCCCCACAAACCCUAGGCAUUCCCCGAUUAACUUUUGAUAUUCUGAGAAGGGUAGGAUUCAACAAGGGCAAGUGUGGGACCUGGUUAAUGAAGGCGUGGGCCAGAUCAAAGUGGCAGGGUGAUGUGAAACAGAAUCUCAAGUGAAGAGAUCAGAAAUCACAAGAGGGCUUUUUAGCCCACUGCCCGCAUAAUUUCAACCUAACCUAGCAGUGACACGCUCUUCAUUCUCCCGGCCCCAGAAAGGCCAAUAAGAAAACCCAGAUAUUUUAUUUCACCUAUUAGGUGUUAAAAAAUUCAUAGUUAAAAGAAUGGAGAGGUUCACCAAUCAGCAGCUAAUGUACCUUUAAGGGCUGAGGUGAGCCGGUCUCCUAGCAACAGCCAGGUUUGCAGCAGGUGGACAAUUAGGUUUUAGUAUCACAUUAGUUAAAAGAGGCCCUGCGGGGGGAAGAAGGUCAGGGACGUUUUAACUGGAUAGCAGUACUGUCUGGGUUUAGAGACUCCACAGAAGACCCGAGUGACGGACGAGAGUCGAGUUGGACCUUCCGGUCGGGAAUCACGCUUUUUUGAAGGCAAUUGGUUGGAGUCGAAAUCGCAGACGCAAGAUAAGCAGUAGGAACAUUAUUCUUUUAUUUAUUGUCUUACUUACAUUAUUGUCUUAAUGAUGUGGAAAGGCAAAGAUAGGAGAGGUUGUGUGGAUCGAUACCUGC